rnacentral:rRNA from 1 species
UACGUAGGGGGCUAGCGUUGUCCGGAAUCAUUGGGCGUAAAGCGCGUGUAGGCGGUCCGGUAAGUCCGCUGUGAAAGUCGGGGGCUCAACCCUCGAAAGCCGGUGGAAACUGUCGGGCUAGAGUGCGGAAGAGGCGAGUGGAAUUCCUGGUGUAGCGGUGAAAUGCGCAGAUAUCAGGAGGAACACCAAUUGCGAAGGCAGCUCGCUGGGACGUUACUGACGCUGAGGCGCGAAAGCUGGGGGAGCGAACGGG